UGGGGAAUUUUGGACAAUGGGGGAAACCCUGAUCCAGCCAUCCCGCGUGUGCGAUGAAGGCCUUCGGGUUGUAAAGCACUUUUUGGCAGGAAAGAAACGUCGCGGGGUUAAUACCCCGCGAAACUGACGGUACCUGCAGAAUAAGCACCGGCUAACUACGUGCCAGCAGCCGCGGUAAUACGUAGGGUGCAAGCGUUAAUCGGAAUUACUGGGCGUAAAGCGUGCGCAGGCGGUUCGGAAAGAAAGAUGUGAAAUCCCAGAGCUUAACUUUGGAACUGCAUUUUUAACUACCGGGCUAGAGUGUGUCAGAGGGAGGUGGAAUUCCGCGUGUAGCAGUGAAAUGCGUAGAUAUGCGGAGGAACACCGAUGGCGAAGGCAGCCUCCUGGGAUAACACUGACGCUCAUGCACGAAAGCGUGGGGAGCAAACAGGAUUAGAUACCCUGGUAGUCCACGCCCUAAACGAUGUCAACUAGC
rnacentral:rRNA from 1 species